rnacentral:rRNA from 1 species
GACGAACGCUGGCGGCGUGCUUAACACAUGCAAGUCGAACGAUGAACUCCCAGCUUGCUGGGGGGGAUUAGUGGCGAACGGGUGAGUAACACGUGAGUAACCUGCCCUGGACUCUGGGAUAACCCCGAGAAAUCGGAGCUAAUACCGGAUAGGACCUUGCACCGCAUGGUGUGGGGUGGAAAGCUUUUUCGGUCUGGGAUGGACUCGCGGCCUAUCAGCUUGUUGGUGAGGUAAUGGCUCACCAAGGCGUCGACGGGUAGCCGGCCUGAGAGGGUGACCGGCCACACUGGGACUGAGACACGGCCCAGACUCCUACGGGGGGCAGCAGUGGGGAAUAUUGCACAAUGGGCGCAGGCCUGAUGCAGCAACGCCGCGUGCGGGAUGACGGCCUUCGGGUUGUAAACCGCUUUUAGUAAGGAAGAAGGGGAGCUUGCUCCUUGACGGUACUUGCAGAAAAAGGACCGGCUAACUACGUGCCAGCAGCCGCGGUAAUAC